CGCGUAGGCGGAAAUUUAAGCGUGGCCUGAAAGCCCCCGGCUCAACCGGGGAGUGCGGCUGCGAACUGGGUUUCUUGAGGACGAUAGAGGAGAGUGGAAUUCCUGGUGUAGCGGUGAAAUGCGUAGAUAUCAGGAGGAACACCCGAGGCGAAGGCGGCUCUCUGGGUCGUACCUGACGCUGAGGCGCGAAAGCGUGGGGAGCGAACGGGAUUAGAUACCCCGGUAGUCCACGCCGUAAACGAUGGUCACUAGGUGUGUGUGGUAUCGACCCCGCACGUGCCGCAGCUAACGCAAUAAGUGACCCGCCUGGGGAGUACGGCCGCAAGGUUGAA
rnacentral:rRNA from 1 species